CUUCUGCAGAUUCUUGGCUGUGCGUGCUAGCAGCAGCAAAGUCGAUGUGGAUACCUUUUCGCGUAUGACCUGGUAAAGAGAGAAAGAGGGUAAAAAUUCGUCUGCUAAGCGAGUAAAGCUAAUAGCUUCUGGAGUCUCAAUGAAGUACUUAAAAUUAGCUAAAGUCCUGAAGUUCUUAUUAAUUAUGUUGAUUAUUUGAUUUCAAUUACAAAUCUAUAUAAAUUAAAAUAAAUAUGUAUUAUUAUUAAAUCA